GUAGUUUAAAACUGCACGAAUACGGAGGCUAAAUUUUCUGUAUAUACAAAAAAUCUCCGAGCUUUCGUAUUUUUGUGGCGGCGUAUAAAAAUCUCAGCGUGCUUCUCUCUAAACUCCGGCGCACACACCCCUCCUAUGGCGGCGCGUAUACUCCCACGCGUCCUACCUAUCUCAUCUCUCUCCACUAUCCGAUCAACCACGCACUUAAAAUCUCUCUCUCCGCUCUCAUUCAACCGAUUCUCGGUGUCAUUUUCGUCCUCGAUAUCUUCGCUGUUCGGCAUUCGCCGCCGGCGGAGAUUUUUAAGCGACGCUUCGAGGAGCGGCGAGGAGUGGAGUGUAAGGAGAGGAGUAUUCGCGGAGCAGCGAGGGUAUCGGAAGCUGAGAAGGCGUGCGGCGAAGAGUAAGGAGAAGGAGUUAGAGCUUUGUGUUAAGAUUUGCGUUGAAGAACAGUUGCCUGAUGAUCCUGAAACUCUGGAUAUUGCAGAAGUUCUGAGAUUAAAUGUCCCAAUGGCCAUGAAAGUAGCAUUUGAUGGUCUGAAAGAUUCACAGUAUAAAACAAGGGAUCCUGCAAUUGAUGAUGUUGGUUGUUUUGAGAAUGUUGAACUGUCCGUACUUCUUUGCAAUGACGAGUUUAUUCGCAAACUUAACAAGGACUGGCGGGGUGAGGACCAUGCAACUGAUGUUCUCUCCAUGUCCCAACAUAUUCCCGAACUAAAGCUUCCGAUUCUUAUGUUGGGUGACAUUGUAAUUUCGGCUGAGACAGCAGCACGCCAAGCAGCGGAAAGAGGGCACACUCUUCUUGAUGAGAUACGCAUACUCGUGGUUCAUGGGUUGCUACAUCUUUUGGGGUUCGAUCAUGAGCUCAGCGAUGAGGCUGAAGCAGAAAUGGAGAAAGAAGAGGAACUUCUGUUAAAGAGUCUAGGAUGGAAAGGAAAAGGAUUAAUUCAGAGCACCCAUGAUGCUGUUGAAGAUAAUGUUGCCUCUCAUAUUGAUGUUCUGACUGACAGAAAAAAAGAAGGCAGUCUUCGUUUCUACAGACCAAAGUACAGUCAUAUCUUUUGCGAUGUGGAUGGAACAUUGCUUAACAGCAAAAGUCGAAUCACCGAAGCAACGGCAAAAGCUUUAAGAGAGGUUAUAUCAAGGGGUGUAAGGGUGGUGAUAGCUACAGGGAAGACUCGCCCAGCUGUCAUCAGUCUUUUGAAGAUGGUAGAUUUGGCAGGAGAAGGUGGCAUUGUCUCGGAUUCUUCUCCUGGUGUUUUUGUGCAGGGAUUGCUUGUUUAUGGUAGACAAGGCCGUGAGAUUUGUAGAAGGAACUUAGAUCCAGAUGUAUGCAGAGAGGCAUUUCUUUAUUCUCUUGAGCAUAAAGUUCCACUUAUUGCAUUCAGUCAGGACCGUUGCUUAGCAUUAGCAAAUCACCCUUUUGUGGACUCACUUCAUUCUGUAUAUCAUGAGCCAAAGGCAGAGAUCAUGCCUUCUGUGGAGCAUCUUUUGGCUAGUGGUGAUGUACAGAAGGUGUUAUUCUUAGAUACGGCUGAGGGGGUGAGUACUACACUGCGGCCUUAUUGGUCAGAAGCCACAAGCAAUCGUGCCUCUGUAGUCCAGGCGCAGGAAGACAUGCUGGAAAUUGUACCCCUUGGAACUUCGAAAGGGAGUGGCGUAAAGAUGUUGCUCGAUCAUUUGGGUGUCCCUGCUAAGGAGGUCAUGGCUAUAGGUGACGGGGAAAAUGACGUUGAAAUGCUUGAGCUAGCUUCUCUAGGAGUAGCUCUUAGUAAUGGAUCUGACAAAGCUAAAGCUGUUGCUGACAUCAUUGGUGCGAGCAACGAUGAAGAUGGAGUGGCCGAUGCAAUCUACCGAUAUGCAUUCUGAGCAUGUACACGAGCUUCAGUAUGCACUUAUUAUUUUUCUUUAAUCAUGACAAGUUUACAAGGAUCUUUUGCAAAGCUAUUGCCCAUGGAAACCAAGAUACUUGUGGCGUUCGAAGGAUAUUGUAUCUAAGAGGGCGGAGACUGUACUGUUACAAGAGUAUGGCGAUUGUGCUAUAGCUAUUGCUAUUGAUAUAUUUAUGAAAUAAAUUAUAAUAUAUAUCACUCCAUUUUGUGAUAAAUAUAAUGCUAAAAUAACAUAAAA